rnacentral:piRNA from 1 species
UGUCCCUACUAACUUGAUGGCGAUGACUCU